AGGCAGAAUUGGAACGCAUAUGGGCGCAUCGGACGUUUAACCCGACCGAUGUACACAUUCUUGAGUGCCU
rnacentral:rRNA from 1 species